rnacentral:rRNA from 1 species
GAUGAACGCUGGCGGCGUGCAUAACACAUUCAAGUCGAACGGAGAUAUUUGAGGAAAUCCUUCGGGAUGGAUACGAAUAUUUUAGUGGCGGACGGGUGAGUAACGCGUGAGCAACCUGCCCUUGUGUGGGGGAUAACAUCUGGAAACGGAUGAUAAUACCGCAUAAUGCAACGGAAUCGCAUGUUUCUGUUGCCAAAGAUUUAUUGCGCAAGGAUGGGCUCGCGUUGGAUUAGAUAGUUGGUGAGGUAACGGCUCACCAAGUCGACGAUCCAUAGCCGGACUGAGAGGUUGAACGGCCACAGUGGAACUGAGAAACGGUCCAGACUCCUACGGGAGGCAGCAGUGGGGAAUAUUGGGCAAUGGGUGAAAGCCUGACCCAGCGACGCCGCGUGCGGGAAGACGGUCUUCGGAUUGUAAACCGCUUUUAUUAGGGACGAUAAUGACGGUACCUAAUGAAUAAGCCACGGCUAACUACGUGCCAGCCGCCGCGGUAAUAC